rnacentral:tRNA from 1 species
GCCUUCAUGGUGUAGCAGUAGCACACUCGGUACGUAUUCGAGAAGUCCAGGUUCGAGUCCUGCCGAGGGCA